rnacentral:rRNA from 1 species
UUAGAGAAGAAAAGUCGUANCAGGUUUCCGUAGGUGACCUGCGGAAGGAUCAUUA